UACGGGGGGGGCAAGCGUUGUUCGGAAUUACUGGGCGUAAAGGGCUCGUAGGCGGCCAACUAAGUCAGACGUGAAAUCCCCAGGCUCAACUUGGGAACUGCGUCUGAUACUGGAUGGCUUGAAUUCGGGAGAGGGAUGCAGAAUUCCAGGUGUAGCGGUGAAAUGCGUAGAUAUCUGGAGGAAUACCGGUGGCGAAGGCGGCAUCCUGGACCGAGAUUGACACUGAUGAGCGAAAGCUAGGGGAGCAAACGGG
rnacentral:rRNA from 1 species